rnacentral:rRNA from 1 species
AGUACGUGAAACUGCUUAGAGGUUAAGCCCGAUGAACCUGAAUAUCCAUUAUGGAAAAUUCAUCACUAAUUUUAAAUAUAAUAAUAUUAAAAGAAAAAAGUGUGCAAUUUUUCCAUAUAAGGACAUUGUAAUCUGUUAAUGUAUAAUAUUUAUCAAAAGAUCUAUUACUAAAGUUUAUUUGAAUUAGUUAUUUUCGGAUUUCUAACAUAAAUAAUUGUUUUAGAUUUGAUAAAUCAUUGACAGAUAUAAUUAUAUAAUGUGCUGAAUUCUUCUGAAUUUUAUAAUGGUAUUUAAAUCUAUUGAUUUAUUUAUUUAAUUAUAUGCGCUAUUAUGAUUACCAAUGCGAUAGAUUCAGGAUACCUUCGGGACCGUCUUGAACACGGACCAAGGAGUCUAACAUAUGUGAAGUCAUGGGUAUUUUAAUAAACCCAUGGCAUAAUACUACGAUAUAAUAAUGGAUAAUUAUGAUUUGUAGAAUGGUUAUCCAUCCGGGCGUCUAUAUAGUUAUCAUAUGUUUAUAUAUUA